CGCGUGUACUGGUCCGGCCGGGCCUUUCCCUCUGUGGAACCCCAUGCCCUUCACUGGGUGUGGCGGGGAAACAGGACUUUUACUGUGAAAAAAUUAGAGUGCUCCAGGCAGGCCUAUGCUCGAAUACAUUAGCAUGGAAUAAUAGAAUAGGACGUGUGGUUCUAUUUUGUUGGUUUCUAGGACCGCCGUAAUGAUUAAUAGGGACAGUCGGGGGCAUCAGUAUUCAAUUGUCAGAGGUGAAAUUCUUGGAUUUAUUGAAGACUAACUACUGCGAAAGCAUUUGCCAAGGAUGUUUUCAUUAAUCAGGAACGAAAGUUAGGGGAUCGAAGACGAUCAGAUACCGUCGUAGUCUUAACCAUAAACUAUGCCGACUAGGGAUCGGACGGUGUUAUAUUUUGACCCGUUCGGCACCUUACGAGAAAUCAAAGUGCUUGGGCUCCAGGGGGAGUAUGGUCGCAAGGCUGAAACUUAAAGAAAUUGACGGAAGGGCACCACCAGGGGUGGAGCCUGCGGCUUAAUUUGACUCAACACGGGGAAACUCACCAGGUCCAGACACAAUGAGGAUUGACAGAUUGAGAGCUCUUUCUUGAUUUUGUGGGUGGUGGUGCAUGGCCGUUCUUAGUUGGUGGAGUGAUUUGUCUGCUUAAUUGCGAUAACGAACGAGACCUUAACCUGCUAAAUAGCCCGUAUUGCUUUGGCAGUACGCUGGCUUCUUAGAGGGACUACUCGCG
rnacentral:rRNA from 1 species